UUAAUGGAAAAAAUAAAUAAAUUUAAAACCAAAUCGUUAAUGGUGGCACAAACAUUAAAAGAAAAGAAAAAAUAACCUGCCGCAAACUUUCAUAACCCUAAACAAUAUUCUUUCCCCAUUUUUAUUCCUCUCCACCAGCCGUGUUGUAUGCAGAGAAAGGGCUGCUGGGAUCAUUACAGGAUACAACAUAACCACCGCAAAGCCAAUUGCAAAGCCAAUAUUUAGGGAGAGUCUAGAGUUAAUUUGGAUGAAUUAGGAAAACCUAUUCAGGUAUUUACUCUCUUCUGGAUGUUGGUGGUUCGAUAUGGACUUACUACAUAAUAUCCACAUAAUAGCCUCUCACAUUUGGUGAAGUUGUUGUGUUAUUGGCAAUGGUAUUAAUGACGCUCCAGUGCUUACAUAAUGAUGGAGGACAUGGUACUGCCUUACAUAAUGUUGUGGCUCGAGGUUCAGGAUUUCGAGCGGAAUAUGUUGAACCUAUCUUCCAUAAAAAAUGGAGAAGUUCAGCCAAUGCGAGCUAAAAUGAUGAGCAGAGCAUGUUGUUCUAAAAUGUGAAUGAUGAUGUACUUCUUUAACCGUCCUAAACGCGAUGUAGGAUAAGAUCUUAAGAAUGAUAUGUAGUUUAAUCAUCUUAAACACAUAUUGUGGAUAUACACCUCCAUAUCCAACGGAUUGGUGUAGAUAUAUACAUGGAUCUACAUGUACUCUACUCGAUGCCGUAUCAAUUUGUACAUGUUUAGAUUAGCUUCUUCAAUGGAGCUUCUUCAACGGAGUUGGAAUGAUGAGCAGCCUCAAGGCUAAUGCAAAAGCUGAAUUCAGUCACAUUUGGGUUGUAUAUUUGGACUAUAUGACUGACCAAUUUAGUGAUAUUUAGACUUGAAAUACUUUUAUUUUUUUGAUUAUAUAAGUUGUAUAUGCAUACAAAAGCAAAACAAAAAUAAAAAACAAAACAAAAGCAAUAUGAUAUGA